rnacentral:misc_RNA from 1 species
UCUCCGUUGGUGAGCCAGCGGAGGGAUCAUUACCGAGUUUACAACUCCCAAACCCCUGUGAACAUACCAUUUGUUGCCUCGGCGGUGCCUGCUUCGGCAGCCCGCCAGAGGACCCAAACCCUUGAUUUUAUACAGUAUCUUCUGAGUAAAUGAUUAAAUAAAUCAAAACUUUCAACAACGGAUCUCUUGGUUCUG